CGAGAGGCAUCUUUUGAUAUUUAAAGUUUCGACGGUACGAGAUGGGCAUGCGUGACAUUAGCUAGUUGGUAAGGUAACGGCUUACCAAGGCUUCGAUGUCUAGGGGUCCUGAGAGGGUGAUCCCCCACACUGGUACUGAGACACGGACCAGACUCCUACGGGAGGCAGCAGUGAGGAAUAUUGGUCAAUGGGCGUAAGCCUGAACCAGCCAUCCCGCGUGAAGGAAGAAGGCGCUAUGCGUCGUAAACUUCUUUUCCAGAGGAAUAAAAUUUUGUACGAGUACAGAACUGAAGGUACUCUGGGAAUAAGCAUCGGCUAACUCCGUGCCAGCAGCCGCGGUAAUACGGAGGAUGCGAGCGUUAUCCGGAUUUAUUGGGUUUAAAGGGUGCGUAGGCGGAUUAAUAGGUCAGUGGUGAAAACCUUCAGCUUAACUGGAGAACUGCCAUUGAAGUCUUGAGUACCG
rnacentral:rRNA from 1 species